GCUGGCGGCAGGCCUAACACAUGCAAGUCGAACGGAGUUAUAUUGUAGCUUGCUAUGGUAUAACUUAGUGGCAGACGGGUGAGUAAUGUAUAGGAAUCUACCUAGUAGUACGGAAUAAUUGUUGGAAACGGCAACUAAUACCGUAUACGCCCUACGGGGGAAAAAUUUAUUGCUAUUAGAUGAGCCUAUAUUAGAUUAGCUAGUUGGUGGAGUAAUAGCCUACCAAGGCAAUGAUCUAUAGCUGAUCUGAGAGGAUGAUCAGCCACACUGGAACUGAGAUACGGUCCAGACUCCUACGGGAGGCAGCAGUGGGGAAUAUUGGACAAUGGGCGAAAGCCUGAUCCAGCCAUGCCGCAUGAGUGAAGAAGGCCUUUGGGUUGUAAAGCUCUUUUAGUGAGGAAGAUAAUGACGGUACUCACAGAAGAAGUCCUGGCUAACUCCGUGCCAGCAGCCGCGGUAAUACGGAGAGGGCUAGCGUUAUUCGGAAUUAUUGGGCGUAAAGGGCGCGUAGGCGGAUUAGUAAGUUAAAAGUGAAAUCCCAAGGCUCAACCUUGGAAUUGCUUUUAAAACUGCUAAUCUAGAGAUUGAAAGAGGAUAGAGGAAUUCCUAGUGUAGAGGUGAAAUUCGUAAAUAUUAGGAGGAACACCAGUGGCGAAGGCGUCUAUCUGGUUCAAAUCUGACGCUGAGGCGCGAAGGCGUGGGGAGCAAACAGGAUUAGAUACCCUGGUAGUCCACGCUGUAAACGAUGAAUGUUAAAUAUGG
rnacentral:rRNA from 1 species